rnacentral:rRNA from 1 species
GGGGGGGGGGGGGGGGGGGCGGGGGGCGGGCGGGGCGGGCGGGGGGGCGGGGGGGGGGGGGGGGGCGCGGGGGGCGAGCGGGUGGGUAACACGGGAGUGACCUGCCCUGGACUUUGGGAUAACUUCGGGAAACGGGGGCUAAUACCGGAUAGGAGCUCCUGCUGCAGGGGGGGGGUGGGACAGUUUCGGCGGUUGGGGAUGGACUCGCGGCUUAUCAGCUGGUUGGUGGGGUAGUGGCUUACCAAGGCUUUGACGGGUAGCCGGCCUGAGAGGGUGACCGGCCACAUUGGGACUGAGAUACGGCCCAGACUCCUACGGGAGGCAGCAGUGGGGAAUAUUGCACAAUGGGCGGAAGCCUGAUGCAGCAACGCCGCGUGCGGGAUGACGGCCUUCGGGUUGUAAACCGCUUUCGCCUGUGACGAAGCGUGAGUGACGGUAAUGGGUAAAGAAGCACCGGCUAACUACGUG